CUCUGUUAGUAUAAAACGCUGUGUCAUUAUCAUUGUUGUGUGGGUGGUCACUCAUGACAACACUGACUGCACAGGAACAACAGAGCUGCUCUGCAAGACGCAUGUAUGAAGAGAGAAAUUAAAGUGGAGGGAUGCUGUGACGAAUACUGUAUCCACUGCGUAAAAUGGCCAGCUGGAUAGCUUCAUGCUGUGGCUCCUUAAUACCGCGCAGGGUAGCAGCAGGAUGACUGUCACGGUGUAAAGGGCAGAAUGUGUGGACAGUCUCCAGAUGUGAUAAAGCACCACCACCAGUUUAAAAAUCCUGCAGGGUGGACUGAGGAGAUGCUCUCGUUUCUAUGCCCGGUCAUUUAUCAGUGAAGUUUCUUAUCAUGAAGCAUGUGUGUAUAUGUUGCUGUGCAGUUGUUUUAAUGAUGACUUGUCUGAAAACUCCCUGUUGGGAAGCCAGAUAAAAUCUGAGAACUGACAAGUGCAACACCAACUACUAACUUACUAAUGCAAUAUAAUAAACCAAUGAAUUAAAUAAA